CAUAGAUCAUCAUUAUCGUCAAGAGAGUCUCGUGCAUGAGCAACCUCCUUCACUGACUCCUUCAUGAUCUUCAAAGCCUCAUCCACUUCCUCUUCAUUCAGAACCAAAGCCGGGAUCAAUCGGAGGACAGGGUAGAUACUGGUAGUGAGGACGAGCAGUCCUCGGUCGUAACAAGCGUCCUGGACGAGCUUGUUAAGGUUACCAGGAAGAGUGAUAUCGCCGCGGUUAUGGGAUGAGGUGAGCUUAGAGUUAGGGUCUUUGAACUCAAGGGCAAUCAUGAGCUGUAGGAGGGAAUUUUGUCAGUACAUGACAAGGAUCAUCGCGGACGGGUUUACAUACACCCUUGCCUCGAACUUCCUCAAUCAUCCAGCCACCGUUGGCCUCGUCCUCUUGGAUCUCGCGGAGGCCCCUGAAGAGCUGCUCGGAUCGAGCUUGAACGUUGCCAAGGAUAUCAUGAGUACGCAUGUAUUGAGUAGUGGCGAGAGCGGCAGCACAUGCGACCACGUUACCAGAGUAAGUACCGCCCUAUACCAAAAGAGCCAUAACAUCCAUGAUCUCCUUUCUGGUAACGAUACCAGAGAUAGGCAUUCCGUUGGCGAAACCCUUGGCGUAGACCAUGAUGUCAGGUGUGACACCAGUGUGCUCGAUGGCAAAUGUCUUUCCUGUACGUCCGAACCCGGUUUGGAUCUCAUCUUUGCUUCUGGUCAGCUUUUCGCAACACCCAUUUCUUAGUGUACUCACCAAUCACGAGCAUGAUACCAUACUUGUCACAGAGCUUUCGUAGGUGCUUAACAUAAGCGGUGGGAGCAGGAAUGUAUCCACCCUCGCCGAUGACAGGCUCUAGGAAGAUGGCGGCAGUGUCUUCGGGAGCGGUCUGCUGUUGAAGCAAGUUUUCGACUCCCAAAAUGGCUUGUUCAAUGAGGACAUCCUCAGGAGUGUCUUUGGGAAGACCCAUAGCGUGCCAGUAAGGGAAAGGAGUGGUGUAGACGCAUGGCUGUAAAGCUGUUUUAGCUUUUGGAAAACUCAUGUAGUCGUAUACUACUCACCAUCAAAGGCCCAGUACCCCUGAAGAAAGAAGUCUUGGAUCGAGUCAAGGCGGCUGCACCAGAAGUUCGCCCUAAAGCCAAUGUCAGUUUAUUACCCUUUAGCAAAGGUACCCGGUAUAUCGCUCACCAUGGUAACCACCCUGCAUUACCACAAUGUUAUUCCUCUUCGUCUUGGUCCUGGAGACCUUUAUGGCGGCCUCAAUUGCCUCAGAUCCAGAAUUCCAGAAGAAGAAGCUGUCCAAGCUUGGGUCGGGCAUCAUAGUCAGCAAUGACUCGACCAGUUGUACGUAUGGCUCUGAGAGACCAAUAGCGCAUUGGACAUGGAUGAUGGAUUGUGCUUGAGAUAUAAUGGCGGCGGUAACGUCGGGAUGAGCAUGGCCCAGUGAAGUGACUCCAAUACCUGAUGUGAAGUCGAGGAGUUUUUGGUUUUCCUGAUAAGACAAUCGGAACUCGAAGACCUUUGCCCUCUUUGAAAACAUGGUCUCGGAGUCGACCAAGUCCCUUGGUGAUGUGCUUGUCAGCGAGAGCCUGAAGGCCCUCGGUAGAGGUGGUCAAGGGUAGAGGCUUUGAUGCCGAAGGGAGGGGAGCAAUGUGAGAAGCAGCAGACUCGAAGGAAGGCAUUAUGAUUACGGUCGAGUGAAUAACUUGGAUAGUGUGCCGAAGAUAAGAAUGUGGUCGAUUCUUCCGAAGAAAGAACGUACUUAAUUUAUGGGCUUUAAGGGCUAUACAUAGCAAGUAUGAACGGCCUGCGG
rnacentral:sRNA from 1 species